rnacentral:rRNA from 1 species
GACGGGACCCGCACAAGCGGUGGAUGAUGUGGAUUAAUUCGAUGCAACGCGAAGAACCUUACCUACCCUUGACAUGUCCGGAACUUGCCAGAGAUGGCUUGGUGCCCGAAAGGGAAUCGGAACACAGGUGCUGCAUGGCUGUCGUCAGCUCGUGUCGUGAGAUGUUGGGUUAAGUCCCGCAACGAGCGCAACCCUUAUCAUUAGUUGCUACGCAAGGGCACUCUAAUGAGACUGCCGGUGACAAACCGGAGGAAGGUGGGGAUGACGUCAAGUCCUCAUGGCCCUUAUGGGUAGGGCUUCACACGUCAUACAAUGGUCGGUACAGAGGGUUGCCAAGCCGCGAGGCGGAGCCAAUCCCACAAGGCCGAUCGUAGUCCGGAUUGUUCUCUGCAACUCGAGAGCAUGAAGUCGGAAUCGCUAGUAAUCGCAGGUCAGCAUACUGCGGUGAAUACGUUCCCGGGUCUU